rnacentral:rRNA from 1 species
GUGAACGCUGGCGGUAGGCCUAACCCAUGCAAGUCGCACGGCAGCACAGUAAGAGCUUGCUCUUACGGGUGGCGAGUGGCGGACGGGUGAGGAAUACAUCGGAAUCUACUUUUUCGUGGGGGAUAACGUAGGGAAACUUACGCUAAUACCGCAUACGACCUACGGGUGAAAGCAGGGGAUCUUCGGACCUUGCGCGAUUGAAUGAGCCGAUGUCGGAUUAGCUAGUUGGCGGGGUAAAGGCCCACCAAGGCGACGAUCCGUAGCUGGUCUGAGAGGAUGAUCAGCCACACUGGAACUGAGACACGGUCCAGACUCCUACGGGAGGCAGCAGUGGGGAAUAUUGGACAAUGGGCGCAAGCCUGAUCCAGCCAUACCGCGUGGGUGAAGAAGGCCUCCGGGUUGUAAAGCCCUUUUGUUGGGAAAGAAAAGCAGCAGGUUAAUACCCCGCUGUUCUGACGGUACCCAAAGAAUAAGCACCGGCUAACUUCGUG